rnacentral:lncRNA from 1 species
GGCGAUACAAACAAACUACGGCUCCUAGAGCUAAAUUUGGUAGUUUUAACAAAUGAUGGUGUAGAAUCGCUAAUUUUCUCAUAAGUCAAUUUCAAGUCCAAUAUGUAUAACUUAACAAAUAUUCUAAGCUCCAAUUCAGAUUUAGGAACACAAUAAAUCAACAAAUCGAGUAAUGAAACAUGAUAUACAAAAAUCCACUAAUACAUGCUAGCAAAAGAACUUAGGAGGAAAUCCGCGAAAAUCCGAUAAACAUCACUUUAAACCACCUCACGCUCGAGCUCGACCACAGCAAGAAAUUCGAUAAAGAACCCUGUCGAAACCAGCCUCCAACCAGCAACAAAUCUCUCUACGGAUCAAAACACAAAAAUCCCAAUAUUUCCAUCAAUACUCAACAUUUCAGCUUUUAAGCUUAAUUCAUCAAAACCUUAAUGUCAAACUCACCUUCUAAUCUUCAAUUCAGGUGAGAAAAGGUCCCAAAACUAGUGAACUAAGAUGGAGUAUCACCCUCCGAUCCACAAUCUAACUUCCUCCAAAGAUCUAACACAAAAGCACCUAAAAUCCAUCAAUAUACCAAAAAUUCAGCACUUAAACUUGAUUUCCUUCAAUUUC